CAGUCGCCGCGGGAAUACAGAGGGUGCGAGCGUUAAUCGGAUUUACUGGGCGUAAAGCGUGCGUAGGCGGCUUCUUAAGUCGGAUGUGAAAUCCCUGAGCUUAACUUAGGAAUUGCAUUCGAUACUGGGAAGCUAGAGUAUGGGAGAGGAUGGUAGAAUUCCAGGUGUAGCGGUGAAAUGCGUAGAGAUCUGGAGGAAUACCGAUGGCGAAGGCAGCCAUCUGGCCUAAUACUGACGCUGAGGUACGAAAGCAUGGGGAGCAAACAGGAUUAGAGACCCCAGUAGUCCCUGUCUCUUAUAC
rnacentral:rRNA from 1 species